UACGAAGGGGGCUAGCGUUGCUCGGAAUCACUGGGCGUAAAGGGUGCGUAGGCGGGUCUUUAAGUCAGGGGUGAAAUCCUGGAGCUCAACUCCAGAACUGCCUUUGAUACUGAGGAUCUUGAGUUCGGGAGAGGUGAGUGGAACUGCGAGUGUAGAGGUGAAAUUCGUAGAUAUUCGCAAGAACACCAGUGGCGAAGGCGGACUCACUGGCCCGA
rnacentral:rRNA from 1 species